UGCAAGUCGAGCGGACCGACGGGAGCUUGCUCCCUUAGGUCAGCGGCGGACGGGUGAGUAACACGUGGGUAACCUGCCUGUAAGACUGGGAUAACUCCGGGAAACCGGGGCUAAUACCGGAUGCUUGAUUGAACCGCAUGGUUCAAUCAUAAAAGGUGGCUUUUAGCUACCACUUACAGAUGGACCCGCGGCGCAUUAGCUAGUUGGUGAGGUAACGGCUCACCAAGGCGACGAUGCGUAGCCGACCUGAGAGGGUGAUCGGCCACACUGGGACUGAGACACGGCCCAGACUCCUACGGGAGGCAGCAGUAGGGAAUCUUCCGCAAUGGACGAAAGUCUGACGGAGCAACGCCGCGUGAGUGAUGAAGGUUUUCGGAUCGUAAAACUCUGUUGUUAGGGAAGAACAAGUACCGUUCGAAUAGGGCGGUACCUUGACGGUACCUAACCAGAAAGCCACGGCUAACUACGUGCCAGCAGCCGCGGUAAUACGUAGGUGGCAAGCGUUGUCCGGAAUUAUUGGGCGUAAAGCGCGCGCAGGCGGUUUCUUAAGUCUGAUGUGAAAGCCCCCGGCUCAACCGGGGAGGGUCAUUGGAAACUGGGGAACUUGAGUGCAGAAGAGGAGAGUGGAAUUCCACGUGUAGCGGUGAAAUGCGUAGAGAUGUGGAGGAACACCAGUGGCGAAGGCGACUCUCUGGUCUGUAACUGACGCUGAGGCGCGAAAGCGUGGGGAGCGAACAGGAUUAGAUACCCUGGUAGUCCACGCCGUAAACGAUGAGUGCUAAGUGUUAGAGGGUUUCCGCCCUUUAGUGCUGCAGCAAACGCAUUAAGCACUCCGCCUGGGGAGUACGGUCGCAAGACUGAAACUCAAAGGAAUUGACGGGGGCCCGCACAAGCGGUGGAGCAUGUGGUUUAAUUCGAAGCAACGCGAAGAACCUUACCAGGUCUUGACAUCCUCUGACAACCCUAGAGAUAGGGCUUCCCCUUCGGGGGCAGAGUGACAGGUGGUGCAUGGUUGUCGUCAGCUCGUGUCGUGAGAUGUUGGGUUAAGUCCCGCAACGAGCGCAACCCUUGAUCUUAGUUGCCAGCAUUCAGUUGGGCACUCUAAGGUGACUGCCGGUGACAAACCGGAGGAAGGUGGGGAUGACGUCAAAUCAUCAUGCCCCUUAUGACCUGGGCUACCCCCGUGCUACAAUGGGCAGAACAAAGGGCA
rnacentral:rRNA from 1 species